rnacentral:pre_miRNA from 1 species
AUAAUACUCCCUCCGUCCCGAAUUACUUGUCGCAGAAAUGGAUGUAUCUAGAACUAAAAAAUGUCUAGAUACAUCCAUUUCUACGACAAGUAAUUCCGAACGGAGGGAGUACACA